rnacentral:lncRNA from 1 species
GCGCCGCCCGCGCCGCCCGCCGGCCAAUCGGCGCGCGGGGGAGGGGCCGCGCAGCCGCGCCGCGCUCCUCUCCCCCCUCCCCUCCCCGCGCCGUAACCGUGGCGACGGGGGAGGGGGAGCGGAAGUGACGCGAGGGGGCGGGGCUUCGGGAGGAAGCCGGAAGUGACGCUGCCGGUGCGGGCCCAGGUGCGGGGCCGGGAGCUGCGGGAGCGGGGGGGGGGCCCCUCGGGGCUUGGCCACGCCCCCUCCAGACCUGGCCACGCCCCCAAGGGACUGGCCACGCCCCCUCUCUGCUGUAGGCCGCCGGCGGAGCGCUGUGAUUGGCCCGCGGCCGAGAUGGAAGGGGGAGAAGCAGCCAAUGGGAGCAGAGCGGCCGCGGAGGAGGCGGCCAAUGGGCAGCGAGCGCCCCCAGGUUGGUCCAAUGGGGAGGGAGGGGGCGCGGAGCCGGCCAAUGAGGGGCGCCGGGUGGAGGAGGAGGCGGCCAAUGGGAUCGCAGCACCGCGGGGCGCGGCCAAUGAGGGAGCAGGGAGCUGCCGGCUGGCCAAUGAGCAGCUAGAAGGGCGGGAAGCAAACAAGGACUCAGCCAAUGAGGACGCAGGGAGCCGGGAGCCGACCAAUGAAGGCGCAGGGCCACGGGGACCGACCAAUGAGAACACAGCGCGCCCGGAGGCGUCCAACGGGGCAGCCGCGUCGCUUCCCGGGCCGUCCAAUCAGGCGGCAGCCCCGGCGCCGUCAGCCAAUGAGGCGUGGGACUGGCGCAGCGAGGAGGCGUGGCUCCGCGAGCCCUGCGGGGACGAGGACGGGGACCCCUGGGCCCUGUGGGACGCGCCGGGGGCGGCAGCCAAUGAGCACGCGGCUGGCUGGGAGCCAGCCAAUGGCAGCGGAGAGCCCGAGGAGGCGGCCAAUGGCGAGGGAGACCCAAAGGGUGGCAACGAGGAGCGGGCCGGGGGCAACCGGGAGCCCGAAAGCCCGAGGGACGUCAACGAGAACCCGGCCGGGGGCCCCGGAAGGCCCAGCGGGGCCACCAGAGACCCCGAGGAGGCGACCGACGUCAACAGGAACCCCAGUGACGUCAUCGGGGACCCCGAAACCCCCCCUGAGGACCCCCAAAACCCAACCGAUGUCAACGAGAACCCAACUGACGUCAUCAAGGACCCCAGAAAGCCAACUGGGGACCCCCAAAACCCAACCGAGGACCUCAAAAAGCCAACCGACGUCAACAGGAACCCCAGUGACGUCAUCGAGGACCCCGAGAAGCCAACUGAGGGCCCCCGAAACCCAACUGAUGUCAACGAGAACCCAAGUGACGUCAUCAAGGACCCCGAAAACCCAACUGGGGACCCCAAAAACCCAACUGACGUCAACGAGAACCCAACCAAAGCCCCCA